rnacentral:lncRNA from 10 species
CUGCAGGACAAGUUCGAGCAUCUUAAAAUGAUUCAACAGGAGGAGAUAAGGAAGCUCGAGGAAGAGAAAAAACAACUGGAAGGAGAAAUCAUAGAUUUUUAUAAAAUGAAAGCUGCCUCUGAAGCACUGCAGACUCAGCUGAGCACCGAUACAAAGAAAGACAAACAUCUAACAAUUUGGACAAGACAGCAAAUGCUAUUGUCCAAGUUUUCUAAAGAAGAAUCUGAAGUGAAAUGACAUCAAGAGACCUAUCAAGACCUGUAUCCAGGAAAAG